GGCCUAACACAUGCAAGUCGAGCGGAAACGACACUAACAAUCCUUCGGGUGCGUUAAUGGGCGUCGAGCGGCGGACGGGUGAGUAAUGCCUAGGAAAUUGCCUUGAUGUGGGGGAUAACCAUUGGAAACGAUGGCUAAUACCGCAUAAUGCCUACGGGCCAAAGAGGGGGACCUUCGGGCCUCUCGCGUCAAGAUAUGCCUAGGUGGGAUUAGCUAGUUGGUGAGGUAAUGGCUCACCAAGGCGACGAUCCCUAGCUGGUCUGAGAGGAUGAUCAGCCACACUGGAACUGAGACACGGUCCAGACUCCUACGGGAGGCAGCAGUGGGGAAUAUUGCACAAUGGGCGAAAGCCUGAUGCAGCCAUGCCGCGUGUAUGAAGAAGGCCUUCGGGUUGUAAAGUACUUUCAGUUGUGAGGAAGGGGGUAGCGUUAAUAGCGCUAUCUCUUGACGUUAGCAACAGAAGAAGCACCGGCUAACUCCGUGCCAGCAGCCGCGGUAAUACGGAGGGUGCGAGCGUUAAUCGGAAUUACUGGGCGUAAAGCGCAUGCAGGUGGUUCAUUAAGUCAGAUGUGAAAGCCCGGGGCUCAACCUCGGAACUGCAUUUGAAACUGGUGAACUAGAGUACUGUAGAGGGGGGUAGAAUUUCAGGUGUAGCGGUGAAAUGCGUAGAGAUCUGAAGGAAUACCAGUGGCGAAGGCGGCCCCCUGGACAGAUACUGACACUCAGAUGCGAAAGCGUGGGGAGCAAACAGG
rnacentral:rRNA from 1 species